GAACCCUGCUUUCUCAUCGCAGUAAAAAAAGGGUCAUCAUCGUCAAUUUUUUUGUAUCGUUUGAACACUUUCUCAACGCAAUAAGAAAAGGAUCAUCUUUUUCUUCUCGUCUCUUUCCCGUCUUUUUCCAUUUCAUUAUACACGAUGAUUUAACUAACGAGGAAGAUCUAGCCAACUGUUUUGAUGAUAACGGAUAUGGUGGUGGCAAAGGU